rnacentral:misc_RNA from 1 species
UAUCAUAUUAACAGUUCUAAAUGGAAGAACAGCCAAAUUACAUGCCACUUCAAACCAGUGACUAGGUUACAAAGGGAAAAAUGCUCGCCAAACUAUCAGUCAAUCAGCAUGAACUUUUUCGUACAAAUUCAAAAUCCAUGUUUUCCAUUAUGAUUUGCAGAUACUUCCAAUCUCAACAUUGAUGAAUGCAACAAUUAUCGCCACUUUUGCUCUACCUACAACAAUUUUAUUGCAUCUGCACUGCAUGUUUAUUAAGAUCAGUAAUUGUGUCCUCAUAAAACCACCCCAAUACACCAUGCCCAGUUUCUUCGAUAAGGAAAUGCAUCAGUAGACACGAGCUUUAGGUGGGAAUGACUCAACCUCGUCAUCUAGU